GAAGGUGGGGGCCAGGGAAAGCGGAGGAGCGCUGUCUGCGCGAUGAAGAUGAAGGUAAAUGGCUGCCAGUGUACGGUCUCCUCACAACCUCUGAUGUUCAAGAAAAAACAAUCCAUCUCCCCAACUUCUCCCUGGUGCUAAUAUCUCCUAAUCCAGACAUCAUUCUUGUAAACCUCCUGAGCACCCCAUCAAGAACUGCAUACCAUAUUCCAAAUAUGGCCUAACUUAAAAUCUGUAAAGCUAUAUCAUGAUUUCCUGGUCCUUAUGAUCAAAGCCCUGACCUAUGAAAGCAAGCAUACCAUAUGCCUUAUUUACCACUCCACCUGCAUACGUUUAAUUCUUGAAGGAUGCAAAGACAAAAAUAAUCUCUUUCUUUAGAAAACUAUUGCAAGUAUGUUGAUCCAGAGAUAUUUAUAGUUGGGUUAAAUUGGUUAAAAACAAGUUUGUAUUUGUGACUUUUGAUUGCUUUUGCCACAGAUCCCUGGGGUUAAGAGGAAAAGAUAGAUCAGCCAUGAUUGCAUGGCAGUCUAUAAUCGAUGGGCCGAAUGCCUUACUUCUGCUUCUAUGCUUUAUGAACAUGAAUUAUUGCAAUUUACAUCAACCUUUGGGACUCUCAAUUUAUGCUCUUCAACUUCUGAUGCAUCUGCCAGGCUCUGCAAAAGUAUUAAUUCAUUAAACUUCCCCAUUUACUCUUU